rnacentral:rRNA from 1 species
UCCCCGCACAAGCAGCGGAGCGUGUGGUUUAAUUCGUUGCUACACGAAGAACCUUACCUGGGUUUGACAUAGCAGUGGUAGGGAAGCGAAAGCGGACCGACCCUUCGGGGAGCUGUUACAGGUGUUGCAUGGCUGUCGUCAGCUCGUGUCGUGAGAUGUUCGGUUAAGUCCGCUAACGAGCGCAACCCGCGUUGUGUGUUACAAGUGUCACACAAUACCGCCGGUAUUAAGUCGGAGGAAGGUGCGGAUGACGUCAAGUCAGCAUGACCUUUAUAUCCAGGGCUACACACACGCUACAAUGGUCAGCACAAUAGGUUGCCAAGUCGUGAGACGGAGCCAAUCCUCCAAAGCUGGCCUCAGUUCAGAUUGUAGGCUGCAACCCGCCUGCAUGAAGUUGGAGUUGCUAGUAACCGCAGGUCAGCUAUACUGCGGUGAAUACGUUCCCGGGGAUU